CCCGCUGAACUUAAGCAUAUCAAUAAGCGGAGGAAAAGAAACUAACAAGGAUUCCCCUAGUAACUGCGAGUGAAGCGGGAAAAGCUCAAAUUUAAAAUCUGGUGGUCUCUGGCCAUCCGAGUUGUAAUUUAGAGAAGCGUCUUCCGCGCUGGACCGUGCACAAGUCUCCUGGAAUGGAGCGUCGUAGAGGGUGAGAAUCCCGUCUUUGGCACGGAUGCACCAGGGCUUCUGUGAUGCGCUCUCGAAGAGUCGAGUUGUUUGGGAAUGCAGCUCAAAAUGGGUGGUGAACUCCAUCUAAAGCUAAAUAUUGGCGAGAGACCGAUAGCGAACAAGUACCGUGAGGGAAAGAUGAAAAGCACUUUGGAAAGAGAGUGAAACAGUACGUGAAAUUGUUGAAAGGGAAACGCUUGAAGUCAGUCGCGUCGCCCGAGACUCAGCCUCGCCUCGGCUUGGUGUACUUCUCGGCCGACGGGUCAGCAUCAAUUUUGCCCCUUGGAUAAUGGCGAGGGAAAUGUGACACCUUUACGGGUGUGUUAUAGUCUCUCGUCGCAUGCAAGGGUCGGGAUUGAGGAACUCAGCACGCGCCUUUGGGCGUCGGGGUUCGCCCACGAUACGUGCUUAGGAUGCUGGCAUUAAAUGGCUUUAAUCGACCCGUCUUGAAACACGG
rnacentral:rRNA from 1 species